rnacentral:rRNA from 1 species
GACGAACGCUGGCGGCGUGCUUAACACAUGCAAGUCGAACGAAGAUAUGUUGAAAGCUUGCUGAUGCAUAUUUUAGUGGCGGACGGGUGAGUAACGCGUGAGGACUUGUCUAGUACAGGGGGACAACAGUUGGAAACGGCUGCUAAUACCCCAUAAGCCUAAGGGUAAAAGGAGCAAUCCGGUACAUGAAAGACUCGCGUCCUAUCAGCUAGUAGGUGGGGUAACGGCCCACCUAGGCGAAGACGGGUAGCCGGCCUGAGAGGGCGAACGGCCACACUGGAACUGAGACACGGUCCAGACUCCUACGGGAGGCAGCAGUGGGGAAUAUUGGGCAAUGGAGGGAACUCUGACCCAGCGACGCCGCGUGAGUGAAGAAAUCCCUCGGGAUGUAAAGCUCUGUUGUGUGGGAAGAUAAUGACGGUACCACACGAGGAAGCCCCGGCAAACUACGUGCCAGCAGCCGCCGUAAAAC